UACAGAGGGGGCCAGCGUUAUUCGGAAUUAUUGGGCGUAAAGUGUGCGCCGGCGGCCCCGCAAGUCGAGUGUGAAAUCCCCGGGCUUAACUUGGGAAUUGCGCUCGAAACUACGGGACUAGAGUGUGGCAGAGGGGGGUGGAAUUCCACGUGUAGCGGUGAAAUGCGUAGAGAUGUGGAGGAACACCAAUGGCGAAGGCAGCCCCCUGGGCCAACACUGUCGCUCAUGCACGAGAGCGUGGGGAGCAACCUGG
rnacentral:rRNA from 1 species